GUGUUCACUUCAGCAGCACAUAUACUAAAAUUGGAACAAUACAGAGAUUAGCAUCAACCCUGCACAAGGAUGACGUGCAAAUUCAUGAAGCGUUCCAUAUUUUU